rnacentral:rRNA from 1 species
CCUAGUUGAUCCUACCAGUAGUUAUAUGCUUGUCUCAAAGAUUAAGCCAUGCAUGUGUAAGUAUGAACAAAUUCAGACUCUGAAACUGCAAAAGGCUCAUUAAAUCAGUUAUAGUUUGUUUGAUGGUAUCUACUACUCGGAUAACCGUAGUAAUUCAAGAGAUAAUAUGUGCAACAAACCCCGACUUCUGGAAGGGAUAUUUAUUAGAUAAAGGGUCGAUGCGGGCUCUGCUCGUUGCUGCGAUGAUUCAUGAUAACUCGAUGGAUCGCACAGCCAUCGUGCCGGCAAUGCAUCAUUCAAAUUUCUGCCCAAUCAACUUUCGAUGGUAGGAUAGUAGCCUACCAUGGUGGUGACGGGUGACGGAGAAUUAGGGUUCGAUUCCGGAGAGGGAGCUUGAGAAAUGGAUACCACAUCUAAGGAAGGCAGCAGGCGCACAAAUUACCCAAUCCUGACACGGGGAGGUAGUGACAAUAAAUAACAAUACCGGGCUCUAUGAGUCGGGUAAUUGGAAUGAGUACAAUCUAAAUUCCUUAACGAGGAUCCAUUGGAGGGUAAGUUUGGUGCCAGCAGCCGCAGUAAUUCAAGCUCCAAUAGCGUAUAUUUAAGUUGUUGCAGUUAAAAGGCUCGUAGUUGGACUUUGGGAUGGGCCGGCCGGUCCGCCUUAGGUGUGCACCGGUCGUCUCGUCCCUUCUGCCGGUGAUGCGCUCCUGGACUUAAUUGGUCGGGUCGUGCCUCCGGUGCUAUUGCUUUGAAGAAAUUAGAGUGCUCAAAGCAAGCCUAUGCUCUGUAUACAUUGGCAUGGGAUAACAUUAUAGGAUUUCAGUCCUAUUAAAUUGGCCUUCGGGAUCAGAGUAAUUAUUAACAGGGACAGUCGGGGGCAUUCGUAUUUAAUAGUAAGAGGUGAAAUUCUUAGAUUUAUGAAAAGCGGACAAGUGCAAAAGAGUUUGCCAAGGAUAUUUUCAUAAAUCAAGGACGAAAGUUGGGGGAUCGAAGACGAUCAGAUACCGUCCUAGUCACAACCAUAAACAAUGCCGACCAGGGAUCGACCGAUGUUGCUUUUAGGACUCCGCCAGCACCUUAUGAGAAAUCAAAGUUUUUGGGUUCCGGGGGGAGUAUGGUCACAAGGCUGAAACUUAAAGGAAUUGACAGAAGGGCACCACCAGGAGUGGAGCCUGCGACUUAAUUUGACUUAACACGGGGAAACUUACCAGCUUCAAACAUAGUAAGGAUUGACAGACUGAGAGCUCUUUCUUGAUUCUAUGGGUGGUGGUGCAUGGCCGUUCUUAGUUGGUGAAGUGAUUUUUCUUGUUAAUUCCGUUAACGAACAAGACCUCAGCCUGCUAACUAGCUAUGCGGAGGUAUCCCUUCGCGGUCGGCGUCUUAGAGGGACUACGGCCUUUUAGGCCGCGGAAGUUUGAGGCCAUAACAGGUCUAUGAUGCCCUUAGAUGUUCUGGGACACACGCGCGCUACACUGUUGUAUUCACCGAUUUUAUAGGCUUGGCCGAUAUGCCCUUGUAAUCUUUGAAAUUUCAUCGUGAUGGGGAUAGAUCAUUGCAUUUGUUGGUCUUCAACGAGGAACUCCUAGUAAGCGCGAGUCAUCAGCUCGCAUUGACUAUGUCCUUACCCUUUGUACACACCGCUCGUUGAUCCUACCGAUUGAAUGAUCUAGUGAAACAUUCGGAUCGCAGUGGUUCCCCUAGUAAAACAUUCGGAUCGCGGUGGUUCCCCUAGUAAAACAUUCGGAUCGCGGUGGUUCCCCUAGAAG